AACCCACGACCUUCUUGCUGCACCACCGCGCCGCCAGGAGCUUCAGUGUGGUACAUGCCUUAUUUUCACACUGACAUGGACAAGAUCAGGUUGGACAUGGACCUGGGACUCCACUGGGACAAGGUGCACCCAAAAGUCAGCAGCUGAAAACACAGACUUUCACAAGCAAGUCCGGCUUUGACAGGACUCAGACCUCAACAAAUGUUGCCCCACGUAGCACUGCAGCCAUGUGCUGAAGCUGUGUCAACUGUGAUGGAUUUGGCUCGCCUCUGCGGAUGAUGACGUGAUAUAUUAGCCUACAUAAGAAGAAAGAACAACAAUAGGACCAAUGAUUCUGGAGACAAAUGAACAAAAUAACUGUCUAUUUCAAGCCUGACCAUUGUGUUAUCACAGGUGAGAUGAUACGAGACAAUGGACUGUGAUCUAAUGAUAGUGUAAGUGUAAAAAUUACAAGUUGACAGAUGUUAUGUGCAGGACUAUUUCUUGACCAGGCACAGAAACUUCCUGGAGACUUGAUGUUACCGUGAGGCUGCCAGGAAUGCCAGAGUGUUAGUUAUUGAAAUUAAGAAUUAGUUGGAAUAAUUCUUUUAAGCAAUAGAAGUAUCUUGGCUGACAAAUAAAAAGAGCACUACCUGCAGAAACCCAAAUCCUUUAGUAAUGCAACAUUUGUCACACUGUUCUCCGAGAAGUGAAGUGCAGAUUAGAAACACCAACGCAGGGAGAUAUCACUAAAGUCAGAAAGCAAGGAACUUAAAGGUUGCACUUUUAAUUUACAGAGAGAAACGUGACAGAAAGUAACUAAAGAACUUCAAGUGGUAGAUAAAACUUUGAGUUACUGAGGUAAACCACCUGCAGCAAAUGUUGCAAUAGCACAAAUACUCCCUAAUGACAACACCUACAGUAUUAGCCCAGUUCUUCUUUUGAAAUUGGGAGGGAAUUUUACUUUUACUUUCUAAAAAACACCUGUCCCGUAAAUGACCUACAUAAGUCAUGCCAGUGGUACUUUCUGUAAGAGUAAGGGUUUAUACUGACUUAGUGGGAGGGUGUAUUUUGAUAAAUGAGAAGCUGUGUAUAAUAACACUCAACUACAUCCUACUCAGUCAAAGGAGGAUUGCGUAGCACCGUGACCCAGCCAGGCGGAGAGGGCUGACACUUUGUGUGUGUUCAGUGAUCAGUUUAAUGGGGUAGAAACGGUGGCUAUGCCUGGAAUUCCUCUCAAUACAGCCAUGACCUCCUCGGACGGGAGGAAUUACAAGAUUGUUGGAGAAGACGGACCUUUUUUGACACACUGGGCAGAUCCUGCGGUCAGACCUGCAGAUCAGCAACAUCACAAGCCCACAAAGUAAAAUACUCUGUGACUUUUAGAUGCUGCCCUCAACAAAUUUUCUGCACAUGCAGGCUUACAAAGUUUACAAAGACUCCCUGACUGACUCUAGUCCGACUGCCCCACAAAACAAAUACUGUAGAUUAGGGGGGAAGGAAAACACUUGCAUUUAGUUCUUUGCAUCAGGAUGUCCAUAAUUUAGUCCUCUUUGCCAGGAAUGGUUAAAUACUUGACCCGAGAGCACAACAGUACUUCAUAAACAAAUAUACUGCAUGAUUGCAUUGAAUUUCCAGCAUGCAUUGUCACAGUAGGAAUCAGGAAUACGCCUGGCAUUAAUCUACCACUUUAGCUAAAUGGGACCACAUGCAGACAAAAGUCAGAUAUGAUAUAUGAAAAAGUGUGCGCUCCCUUCGCACAGCUGACUUUUAAUUUACAGCCUACCAUCAUGAAGUAGGGGACUGAAUGGGGAAACUGUGUAAAUCUCCUCUGUGAAACUGUGA